rnacentral:rRNA from 1 species
UACAGAGGUCUCGAGCGUUAGGCGGAAUCACUGGGCUUAAAGCGUGUGUAGGCGGCGGGCUAAGUACCUUGUGAAAUCCCACGGCUUAACUGUGGAACUGCUGGGUAUACUGGUUCGCUUGAGCGGUCUAGGGGCGAGCGGAACAAAUGGUGGAGCGGUGAAAUGCGUAGAUAUCAUUUGGAACGCCAACGGUGAAAACAGCUCGCUGGGGACCUGCUGACGCUAAGACACGAAAGCCAGGGGAGCGAACGGG